AUCAGUAUGCUAUAGCAAAAUUUUCCCAAAGUUUUUAGAUGGUGCCGAAAACUCUUGCUGAAAAUGCGGGGCUUAAUUCAAUGGAGAUAAUAUCUUACGUAUAUGCUGAACAUGCAGCUGGGAAAACCAAAGUUGGCAUUGACUUGGAGGGAAAUGUUUGCAAAGAUGUAUCAACUUUAUAAUUUUGGGACCUUCAUGUUACUAAGUUCUUUGCUCUUAAGUAUGCUUCAGAUGCUGCCUGCGCUGUACUACGAGUAGAUCAAGGGUUACUCUACUGCCAUGGACAGGUGUUGGCAACCUGUGGCCCCGAGUGGUGUUGAUUAACCUCUGUGUGUUUGCUCUGGAGGACAGUUUGCUCCUUUGAGAAAGAGUGAGAGAGGGAGAGGAUGAAAGGGAAUCGGUUCUAGAAGCUGAGACUGUGAGAGCGAAGAAAUUUUGGAGCUUUUGAAAUAUGACAGAGGAGGAAUGCAGUUGGAGAUAGGGCUGAUGUAGAGGAUCAACCUCCUGCGAUUUUCAUUCUUCUUUCGUCAGCUGUUGUCAAGGUUAAGUCAAGAAUAAUGGGAGAUUCUUUUUCUUACAAAAGCAUGAUUGAUUGCUUUGUUAAAACUUUGAAGAAUCAUAUUUGUUGUUUUGCGGGGACCUUUGGCCUUUUAUAAGGGUUUCAUCCCAAAUUUUGGACGCCUAGGAUCUUGGAAUGUGAUCAUGUUUCUAACCUUUGAGCAGGGAUUGACUUCUUGGAAUUUAAACCUUAAGAGGUCGCAGCAGCAGCGGCCUGGCAGGAGGAAGCAAAGCAUUAGAUCACACUGAGAAUGCAAUCUCUGUGCUCAUCCAACAUGUAGACUUAGAAAAGGUUGAAGGUAUGAGAUUGAUAAUCCAUAACUUGGGAAGGUUCUUCUCACACAGGGACGUUAGGUUUGCUCAGUCUAAAAGAGCCUGCUAUUUUGUUGCAUUGUCGGAAAGAUGAACUGCAUCAGGUGGAGUCUGUUCUGUAAGCAGCAGCACAGGAAUAUGCGGAGAAAAGAGAUGUUCAUGCACCAGAGAUCAUAGUUGACCACACUGUCUAUCUUCCACCUGCUCCCACCCAUCAAAAUCCCCAUGUUAAUUCCGGUUCUGGAGGUGUAGUCUUGGCUUCUCGAGAUGGAAAAAUUGUGUGUGAGAACACUCUCUAUGCACCGUUGUGUUAGUAUAGUGUUGGCAUUCCUUCUUCACAAAUCUCUACUCCUUAAGAAGCCCAAGGUUGCAGCCCAAGCCCAUACAUGUUUAAAUACAUUUGUUGUAGUUGACUUUGUUGUCUUGCUGUCAAAGACCCAUGUGAAGACUGGAAGAUCAGUUUUGCUGUCAGCUUCCCCAUCUUAGCAUAAUUGUAUAAUUGCAAUUGUUUCUUUUGUGUGGCUGCCUUGCUCUCGAAAGCCAAAGACCAUCUUUGAAGAAUAUAGUUCAAUUUCAACUUGCAACCUCAUCUCAGUUUGCUGCCUUGUUGUCUUGUCCAAGAUCAAGCUUAAAUCUUGAAGAUCAAAAGAAGACCCAUCUUCAUCUUGGCUCCGGUAAGCUCAUGCAUGGCAUCUCUUUCACUAAACCAUGGGUUUUUCAUGGGUUCCCUUCUUGUGUCAGUUUUGAUUAUGGAGCUUGAGUGUUUUGGGUUCUUGAAUUGGUAUUCCCAAUUGAAAUUAGGAGCAUGGGUUUACAUGGGCAAUCUGAAAUUAUGGGUAUGGGUUUACCUACUCCAAUUGAGAUUAAGGGUUCUUUGAGUGAACUGUCCCUUCUCUUCUUCCUCUAUAUAUAUGUGUUCUCUGUUCCAUUUCGGUGAUUGAAAAUACUUUUGUGUUUCAGUCCCUUUGUUUAUCAAGAGUUUAUCUCUUUGGUUUUCUGUUUUUCAAAAUGUCUUGUUCCAUGUUGAAAACAAUUUGAAAAACACAAAACCAUUCAUGCAUAUUCAUCUCUUGCAUCCCAUGAGUUCAGUUGGGAAUUGUAAGCUUCAAAGGUGAAAUCUCCAAGUCGAACUUGCUGCGUUCAUAGCUUGUGUCAUAGUUGAGAUUUCUGAGUUGUUCACUUGUGUAAACAAUUAGCAAGGAGUGAUUACAACAGUCUAGUGAGUUAGUCUAGGAGGAUUGCCGCGUCAGUGCAAUCCAAGUGUUGUAAACUUGUAAUCUGUUUCAUUAGUGACUUGGUUUUGGU